AAGGAUCAUUACAGAGUUCAUGCCCUCACGGGUAGAUCUCCCACCCUUGAAUAUUAUACCUUAGUUGCUUUGGCAGGCCGGGGCAACCCCGGAGGCUUCGGCCUUGGUGUGCCUGCCAGAGGAAACAAACUCUGUUUUUAGUGAUGUCUGAGUACUAUAUAAUAGUUAAAACUUUCAACAACGGAUCUCUUGGUUCUGGCAUCGAUGAAGAACGCAGCGAAAUGCGAUAAGUAAUGUGAAUUGCAGAAUUCAGUGAAUCAUCGAAUCUUUGAACGCACAUUGCGCCCCGUGGUAUUCCGCGGGGCAUGCCUGUUCGAGCGUCAUUUCAACCCAUCAAGCUUCGGCUUGGUCUUGGGGCCUGCGAUUCCGCAGCCUCUAAACCCAGUGGCGGUGCCUCCGAGCUCUGAGCGUAGUAAUUCUUCUCGCUAUAGGGUCUCGGUGGUGUCUUGCCAGUAACCCCCAAUUUUUUACAGGUUGACCUCGGAUCAGGUAGGGAUACCCGCUGAACUUAAGCAUAUCAAUAAGCGGAGGAAAAGAAACCAACAGGGAUUACCUCAGUAACGGCGAGUGAAGCGGUAACAGCUCAAAUUUGAAAUCUGCCGCAAGGCCGAGUUGUAAUUUGUAGAAGAUGCUUUGGGUAUGGCCCCGGUCUAAGUUCGUUGGAACACGACGUCAUAGAGGGUGAGAAUCCCGUAUGUGACUGGGUGCUUUUGCCUAUGUAAAGCUCUUUCGACGAGUCGAGUUGUUUGGGAAUGCAGCUCAAAAUGGGUGGUAUAUUUCAUCUAAAGCUAAAUAUUGGCCAGAGACCGAUAGCGCACAAGUAGAGUGAUCGAAAGAUGAAAAGCACUUUGGAAAGAGAGUUAAACAGUACGUGAAAUUGUUGAAAGGGAAGCGCUUGCAACCAGACUUGCACGCUGUUGAUCAUCCAGGCUUCUGUCUGGUGCACUCGGCAGCGUUCAGGCCAGCAUCGGUUCUGGUGGUGGGAUAAAGGCCUUGGGAAUGUAGCUUCUCUCGGGGAGUGUUAUAGCCCUCGGUGCAAUGCCGCCUAUCGGGACCGAGGACCGCGCUUCGGCUAGGAUGCUGGCGUAAUGGUUGUAAGCGACC
rnacentral:rRNA from 1 species